GAUGAACGCUGGCGGCGUGCCUAAUACAUGCAAGUCGAGCGAACAGACGAGGAGCUUGCUCCUCUGACGUUAGCGGCGGACGGGUGAGUAACACGUGGAUAACCUACCUAUAAGACUGGGAUAACUUCGGGAAACCGGAGCUAAUACCGGAUAAUAUAUUGAACCGCAUGGGUCAAUAGUGAAAGACGGUUUUGCUGUCACUUAUAGAUGGAUCCGCGCCGCAUUCGUUAGUUGGUAAGGUAACGGCUUAGCAAGGCAACGAUGCGUAGCCGCCCUGAGAGGGUGAUCGGCCACACUGGAUCUGAGACACGGUCCAGACUCCUACGCGAGGCAGCAGUAGGGAAUCUUCCGCAAUGGGCGAGUGCCUGACGGAGCACCGCCGCGUGAGUGAUGAAGGUCUUCGGAUCGUAAAGCUCUGUUAUUAGGGAAGAACAAAUGUGUAAGUAACUAUGCACGUCUUGACGGUACCUAAUCAGAAAGCCACGGCUAACUCCGUG
rnacentral:rRNA from 1 species